GUAGGCACUACCCAUGAGUGUCUGGAAAGGGGUACCAGUAGCCGAUGCCGAACUGACGGCAGGGGCAGAGACUCUGGAGAAGUUGCAGACGCUUCGUGUUAGGGAAGUUGCAUUGCUACAACAGAUUUUUAAGCAACAGAGCAAUCCAGCCAAGUUUAUAUUUUAGAGAGAGAACAUCUUCCAUGUGGAGGAUCAGUUGAAAUAGAAGAGAUUGUUAGAAUUGUAGGGCGGUAGUAUUCCAGGCAGGAGAUGACGAAUGCCAGACACCACCUAGUCACAGACAUAGCUUUUGCAGAGAUCAGCUACAUGUUGUUGUUUUUUAUUUACUCUCUCAUAUAAUUUUUUUUAAGUCCUGGACCACAAAAUACUGUGGCAUCGUUGGAAAAAUCUGAGACUCGAUUCUAGUCUUUUUUCUGUUUGCCUGCUCUGCAGCUUGGGCUUACGUUCUCAAGCCUUACUUUUUCAUUGUGAAAUAAGAACGGUGCUACUUAACCCGAGAACUCCCCAGGCACAUAGACCCGUGGCGUGUGAGGAGCAGUGAAGGAGAGAAGGAAUGGAAGUGCUUUGGGGACCCCAAGAGCCCUUCAGAAACCGUUUGUUCUUUUUAAUAUUGAGCAUUAAAAGUGAAGGCAUUCCAUUUGUUUCACUCAAAAACAAAUUCUGUUCUUCUGAUAGCCUGUUUUUUUUUUCCACUCCCUUUUUCUAUAGUCAGAUCAGUUCCUGAUGGGCAUUCUCCAGUCCACACUAUUGCAUCUGAUUGGAGGCUAUGCAAAAUUUCCCAGAGACAAUGAAUUUUGACGACAGACUUCUUGGUGUCCACUGUACCCAUGGUUUCAACAGGACUGGCUACCUCAUGUGCAGAUAUUUGAUUGAUGUAGAAGGCAUGUGGCCAGAUGAUGCAAUUGAAUACUGGUGUUUUAUCUUUACAAGUUCUCCGUCAUUCCAUAAGAAAGCUGCUCGUCUUCUGGUUUCAUAAGAGAUGGUGAACAGUGGUAAAAUAUCCAGUUGACCGAAAUUUCUAGAGUACACUUCAGGGAGCGAGUGAUGGGGUGGAAUGUUGGGGCAGAGUGAGAGAUACAGAUUCUGGUGAGACUGAGAGUCAUGCACAAAAAUUACUGGGCUGUGGUGAAGGGAGAACAAAACUAAAUCAGGUUCCUGCUGGUGGACAGGAAGCCAAGAUGAAGAAGAAUGGUGCGUAGCUGGGCAGUGUAAUUAGGCCCCUAAGUGCUGUGUCUCCUGAUAGUAAUUAUGAACAGAAACCAAAUAAUAGUUACUAAUAACAUGGAGGUGACCAAUCCUUGAGAGCUGAGGCAGAGAGAAGGAAAGAUGGCAUUAUGCCUUGUCUCUGGUGCCUUGAGUUUCCCAGGCUGGUUUGUGACCAAUCUUGGGUGAAAUCAUAACUAAGUCAUUUCUGCUAAGGUGAUCAGCUUUCGUGGGGUCCUUUCUCUGCACUCUGUCCAAUGGUAAAGCCCACUGGUUUAUGCCUCCUGGAAAACAGUUAUUCCAAAGCAGUAUAAGUGAAGCAUUGAUGAAACAGCCAUGAAGAGCAUGUUUCCACAUGGCCUCGCACCACCUUUUCAAAGUGCUGUAAAACUUUUUUCAUCCAAAAAUCAGUAACAGAAAAGGAUUGGGAUCAAAUCCCGUACAGAGGUAGUGUAAGAAAAAAGAGAAUAAGGAGCAGAAUAGCAUGUCUUCAGACAAUAAAAUCAAGUUGGAAAAGACAGGUCCACAAAACAGAUCAAAACUGUAACCUAUUAUUUCAAAGUGGGCUAAAAGAUGUUAGGAAAAACAAUGCGAAAGAUGAAAGAACAUGGAUCGAGGAGGGAAUGGGAAGUUAUUGUUUAGUGGCUAUAGAGUCUCUGUUUGGGAUGGUGGAAAAGUUCUGGAAAUGGUAAAUGCUGAUAAAUGCCACCUAUGGGUGUUUGGUUUUAGUUGAUCUUCUUCCAUGAAAGGGUUUGGAGAGAUUCAGAAGCUAUGCUGCUGCCUCCAUCUUUCUGAUGUCCUGCUCAAUCUUUUGACAUAAUUAUUUUGAAUUUGCACAGUGGUGAUGGUUGCACAGCAUUGUGAAUGUAUUUAAUGUCACUGAAUUGUAUACUUGAAAAUGGUUGAAAUAAUAAAUUUUGUUUUAUGUA